UACAGAGGUCCCAAGCGUUGUUCGGAUUCACUGGGCGUAAAGGGUGCGUAGGCGGUCGGGUAAGUCUGAUGUGAAAUCUCACAGCUUAACCCUGAGCCUGCAGUGGGUACGGGCAGACUAGAGUGUGGUAGGGGAGAUCGGAAUUCCUGGUGUAGCGGUGGAAUGCGCAGAUAUCAGGAGGAACACCGGUGGCGAAGGCGGAUCUCUGGGCCAUAACUGACGCUGAGGAGCGAAAGCAUGGGGAGCGAACAGG
rnacentral:rRNA from 1 species